GGCAGCUUGACAGCUUCUACGUGCUGUCAACAUUUUCAGAGGAAGCGAGGGAGUAGUAACCUGAUGGGGAAAGAAUGUCCGAUCUAAAGCCAGAGGAAGGGGACGGGAGGGGUAGAUGACAUGAGGCAUAAAAAAGUCCCUGAUGAUCUUCACCUAGUGAGCUGCCAAUCGGGAGGAAUGAGGGGGCCAUCAGAAAUCUCACUGUUUUAAAAACCACAUUUUAUUGAAUGUUGACAAAGUUAAGUUCUGACCCAAAAUGGGAUUUGAAAAAUUGCAGAGCCCUUUCCUCAAGUCUAUUUCAACGGUUUGGGCUGUAAAGCCGCAGAAAUAAAAUCAGGAGCAGUCACAUUACCUCCGGCUCAGCUACCCAAUAAGAUUGCAAGAUUGAGGGGAUGGGGGCGGGGCGCCAAGGCAUGCAAACACCAGGGGCUGGGUACAAGUUGUCUAGGAAUAACAGUAUGGAGUUCAUACCAAAGGGUUCUCUCUGUCUCUCUCUGUCUCUCUCUGUCUCUCUCUGUCUCUCUCUCCUCUCUGUCUCUCUCUCUCUCUCUCUCUCUCUCUCUCUCACACACACACACACACACACACACACACACACACACACACACACACACACGCUCUCUCUCUCUCUCCAAAAUCUAUUGAUGAGAAAUAAAGGGACUUCGGUUGCCAGGGCUGAGAGAUGUGCGCCUGGCAGAGCAAACAGAAUUAAGAAUGCUUUUUUACAGAAACCUUAAUGAAGAUGGUAAUUGAGACCCAUCAGGAGGGCAGGCAUCCUUUAAAGAUCUAAGAUCAGUUGGUGCAUUUAAGAACACAAAAUGUAUUAUGUAUAACUCGGUUGUUCAUAAAAUUAUCAUGUUUGAGAUAUACGGAGAUGCGAAGACUAGGAAAGAGAAGAAAUUAAAUACAUGGGGGCUUAUUCUCUUGUUUCUCCAGCUUGAGGAAUAAAAAGCAAAAGGGUCUACGCAAGAAA